rnacentral:tRNA from 1 species
GGUGAGCAAAGGACUGAAAAUCCUUGUGUCGGCGGUUCGAUUCCGUCCAUCACCA